rnacentral:rRNA from 1 species
AUUGAACGCUGGCGGCAGGCCUAACACAUGCAAGUCGAGCAGUAGUGAGAAGCUUGCUUCUCUUGAGAGUGGCGGACGGGUGUGUAAUGCCUAGGAAUCUGCCUGGUAGCUGGGGAUAACGAUCGGAAACGGACGCUAAUACCGCAUACGUCCUACGGGAGAAAGCAUGUGACCCUCGGGCCAUGAGCUAUCAUAUGAGCCUAGGUCGGAUUAGCUAGUUGGUGGGGUAAUGGCUCACCAAGGGGACGAUCCGUAACUGGUCUGAGAGGAUGAUGAGUCACACUGGAACUGAGACACGGUCCAGACUCCUACGGGAGGCAGCAGUGGGGAAUAUUGGACAAUGGGCGAAAGCCUGAUCCAGCCAUGCCGCGUGUGUGAAGAAGGUCUUCGGAUUGUAAAGCACUUUAAGUUGGGAGGAAGGGCAGUAAAUUAAUACUUUGCUGUUUUGACGUUACCGACAGAAUAAGCACCGGCUAACUCUGUGCCAGCCGCCGCCGUAA